UCAUAAUAUAAUGUCCAUUUAAAAGGUCUUUUUUAUUCACGUAUUUUAAUCACUUUUCGUCUUUCUCUUAUUGUUUUAAACAAUAUUGUAUAGCGCUUUACUGACGCUUUUUGUUGACAUUACGUUGAGAAGGUACAAUAGGGCGGAAAUUCAUGUCACAGUAUAGGGGUAAAGUUACAAUACAAGUCAGCAGGAAGUUCGCGUUAAUCAAGCUCAGCUUAAUAACUUUUUGUUUAAUACAGUUAUAUAGGCAUAUAUAUAUAUAUAGUUAACAGAUGAAAUUUUUGCAGAAGAAAUUCGCAAACAAAAGACUUAACUGCUAAACAUAAUAAUAUUCUACAUAUAAUAUACAUAGUUUGACACGCUACUAUAUAAAAGAAAUCGAUUUUUAAAUUUACUUUUCUUUAUUACAUGUGACAAUUCAAUUAAAUCAGAUAUAAUAAACCAAUUUCGUGUGUAUAUUUUUCAAGGACUUUUUAGUGACAAUUUAAGAAUUUUAUUUUGUUUUGAAAAAUAUUGAGGCCAAUUAGAGAGAAUAACUUGUAUUUUUUUUUCCUGUCAAGAGCUUGUUUGGAUUUUUAACAACUCUUAAAUAUCCUCAAUGUAUUCACAAGGAUUUUGUAUUAUAGAAGAUAUACAUUUACUAAUAAAAUUGGUCAAAGAUUUUUCGACAUAUUAGUCUCGAUGUUUCUAAUAUAUAUAUAUAUUAUAGUUUAUAUUACAGUUUAGUUUAGAGAUUGAAAAUUUUUGUCAGAAAUAUAUUGUGUCAGAUAAAAAUUUCUUAAAAUUACAUAAAUCUGCUAUAUAGUUAUAUAAACAGUGGCGUAGGAACCAGUGAGACAAGGGGGGCAGUUGUCCCAUUUAGUUUUUAAGGCUAGGUGCAACUCGUCAAAUGUAAACAAACAUGAAAAUGUACGUAAUUAUUGACAAAUUUGCAACAGUCCUUUUUUUAAAUAGAAAAUAAAAAUUGUUCUUUUUCUAUGUAAAAAUGGAAAAUUCAUAUAUAUGUAUAUAUAAAACUACAGCCUGACGCUGUAUUUGACUAAUAAUAUGAAUAAUAUUAAUAAUUAUAAUAAAAUGAAAAUUAUACUGAAACAACAAUUUUCUCUAGGUUACGAAAAAAAAACCAUUUGAGUAUAUCUGAGGCACGGACGUUGAGAACCUAGGUGGGAGAAAUAGUGUGGGAAGGGGUAAAAGACCUAGUCUCUGUCCUCUGGUGCGGGUAUAAUUUCAGAAUUUUACCCUUUCCAAGAUGUGACCGUCCAAUCGCUUAACUCUUUCUCCCACCUAGGUUCACAACGUCCGUGCCUCAGAUAUACUCAAAUAGUUUUUUUUUCGUAACCUUAAGAAAAUUGUUUUUUCAGUGUAAUUUUCAUUUUAUUAUAAUUAUUAAUAUUAUUCAUAUUAUUAGUCAAAUACAGCGUCAGGCUGUAGUUUUAUAUAUAUAAAUUUUCCAUUUUUACAUAGAAAAAGAACAAUUUUUAUUUUCUAUUUAAAAUAAGGCUGUCGAAAAUUUGUCAAUAAUUACGUACAUUUUCAUGUUUGUUUACAUUUGACGAGUUGCACCUGGCCUUAAGGAGAUUGGAGGGUAAACAUAACCUCAAAAACCUGUCAAAACUAAAAAAUUGUUUUUAACGCAAACAAAAAUAUAAUAAAUAUUAAUUUCCAACAAUUUUAGACGAUCUAGAUUUACUCCUUUUGAAAAAAAUUAUUUUUUUUCCAAAAUAUUUUCUCAAUAAUUAUUUUUCUAACAUUUGCAAAACCUCAAUUUUUUCGGAGCACCGACAAAAAGUUAUAAGUAAAUAAAAAUCUUCAGAAUAUUUAAAUAAAAUUUUUUUUAAUAUCAUAUAUCAUCCAAAAAUAAUAAAUUUUUGCAAUAAUUCUUUCGUUCCUCUGUGCAAAAUAAAGUGAUUUAUGUUUUUCGUGAGUUCCAACAUCUAAUUUUUAAUAGUUUUUUAAUAAUAGCGUUUUUAAAAAAAUUGAAAAAUUUAAGGUUACAAAAUCACAUUGUGAACCUCCUAUGCUUUUGAUAUUUAAUAUUUUUAAAGGGAUGAAUAAAAUUUUUACCAUAAUAUUAUGGUUAAUGAACUCAGGGAAUCAUCGAGUUUCACAUAUAUUAAAACUAGAUUUUUUUAAAAUUUGGUCGCAACCACUAUUAGACGAAAGUCAGUGGACUUGACCCUAUUGUAAUAAAUAUGUUAUUAAAAAGUUAUAAACAAUAAAAAUUUUAUUUAUUUAAUAACUUUUUAACAACAUACUUAUUACAAUAUAAAAAAAGGUAACAAUUAUAGAGAAUGUUUCACUGAGUAAAAUGAGCUUUUGUUUAUAAAAAUUGGUUAAAAAUUGCAAUUUUUGUCUGAUUUGAAAGAAAAAAAAACUAAAUGUUAAAAAAAUAAUUAUUACCCUAAUAACACAAGAUAUCUUGGGAUAUAUUGAUAAUAUCCCGUAGAUAUCCUAGGGAUGUCCUAUGGAUAUCAAAAGGAUUUCUUAAGGAUAUCCAAAAAAUCGGCGGUUUGGAUAUCCUUUGGAUAUCUGAGGAUAUCCACAUGAUAUCUUCUGGAUAUCUCUAUAGACUUUCAUAAAUGUCCUCCAGAUAUCCCAUAGAUAUCGUCAGGAUAUCCCACAGAUAUCAUCAGGAUAUCCCAUACAUAUUGUCAGGAUAUCCCACAGAUAUUUUCAGGAUAUUCUCAGUAUAUCUUCUGGAUGUCAAGAAGAUAUUCUCAGGAUACUGUUUUUAAAGUCAUUAUGAGACUACGAGUGAGAAUAUUCUGUGAAUUAAAUUUUAUAUAAAUAAAAUAAAAUGCAACUUUUUUUUCGAGAAAGUUAUUUAAUUUGAAAAAUUAUUAACUAAUUUUUUUCUCAUUCGUGAUUCAUUCCUUUAUUCAUAUGCUUAAUAUUGUCAGAAAAUAAAUUGGCUUAAACAAUAUAAAUUCUUCCCAGCAAAUAACGAAUAACUAUUAAUAUUAAUUAUACAUUAAGUGUAUGAGUUUAUUUAAAAACUUUGAAAAAUGCGUUUCAAAUCUUCAUUUAAAAUAAAUUAGAAGCUCAUAAGAUUUUUGUUUUUAUUAUAUUAUUAUUCAUUAUAUUAGCUUAACAAUUUUAACCUUUAAAAAUUUUUAGUUCGAGAUAUUAAACAUCCUAAGAAUAUCCCACGGACAUCCUGAGGUUAUCCUGAGGUUAUCCCAUGGAUAUCCUGCGAUAUAAUAUCCAAUAGAUAUUUUGUGGAUGUCUUAGGGAUAUCCUAUUGAUGUCCUGUUGAUGUCCCACAGACCGUCGGUUUGGAUAUCCUAGGGAUAUCCUAUGGAUAUCCUAGAGAUAUCCUAUGGAUAUGCCAAUAUAUCCUGGGAACCAUUCUAGGAUAUCGAACAUUGAUAUGGAUAUCCUAGGGAUAUCCUUUUGUUAUGAGGGUAACAAAAUAUUUUGGAAAAAUAUCUUUUUUUUCGAAAGGAGUAAAUCUAGAUCUCCUAAAAUUGUUUGAAAUUAAUAUUUAUUAUAUUUUUGUUUGCGUUAAAAACAAUUUUUUAGUUUUCACAGAUUUUUGAGGUUAUGUUUACCCUCCACCCUAUCCUUAAGGAAAUACACAAGUGUAUAUCAAUAGUUUUGUCUCACCAGAAAAAAAUUAGUUCCUACGCCUCUGUAUAUAAAUGACAUAUGAUAUUUAUAGUCAAUUUGUCCUAAUAGUUUACAAUUACAAUUCGGAUUUCUCAAAAUAUUGAGGGGAAUUACAGUCAGAUUACUUUCGAGUGUGUGUUUAUAAUUAUUAUUAUUCAAAUUUAUGGCGAUAUAGGUUUUUUUUUUUUUGUCGUUCAGGAAGAAAUGUUUUCUUCAUUAUUACUGACAUGAGAAAAUUAUUUACAAAAUGAAUUUUGCGAAGGAACAAAAAGUAAUUACAACGACGUGUUUUUGGAAACAGUAUAAUAAAUGCAAAUAGAAAUGCAUUAUUUAGAUAUGAAUGAAGACAAGAAGAUAUAUAAUAAUACAGUUUUUCAUAAGGAAAUAUUGCAAUCAUCCGAAUGAGCGUCUCUUAUUUGUUGCUUCGUUUUUCUGGAAGCUCGUCUGAUGAGACUUCUACUUCGAGGUUUACUUUUAACCUCUUCAACGACAGUUACAACGCUUGAACCUUGUGCUGCCAGAACUUGUUGAGGACUUCCUGAAGUAGUGCUUCCGGUUUUACUAGGACUACCUGACCUUGAAAUUCAAGAAGAAACUUAUCGUUAGACUUUGAUGAACUUGCAAAAAAAAAAAAAAAAAUUCUGCUGCCGUCGUAUUGACAAAAAAUUAACGAUUACUGAAAAAAAAUACCUUCGCGAACCAUAUGCUGAACAUCUUCUUCUAAGUCCAGACUCGUCAGUUUCACCAGUUGGAUUUUUUGGAACUAUUCUAGAGAGAGUUACGAAACAUCUAAAGAUGUCUUUAAUGUUAUAGUCGUCUUUAGC